UGCUCUAUGAUUUCCAGUCAAACAUUCUUAGGAAAAGCUGAACAAAAUGAGUGAAAACUCAGUACUGCUGUUCUCAUUAAAUCUGAGGUCG